rnacentral:rRNA from 1 species
GUGCCAGCAGCCGCGGUAAUACGGAGGGUGCGAGCGUUAAUCGGAAUUACUGGGCGUAAAGCGCGCGUAGGUGGUUCGUUAAGUUGGAUGUGAAAGCCCCGGGCUCAGCCUGGGAACUGCAUCCAAAACUGGCGAGCUAGAGUACGGUAGAGGGUGGUGGAAUUUCCUGUGUAGCGGUGAAAUGCGUAGAUAUAGGAAGGAACACCAGUGGCGAAGGCGACCACCUGGACUGAUACUGACACUGAGGUGCGAAAGCGUGGGGAGCAAACAGGAUUAGAAACCCGGGUAGUCC